rnacentral:lncRNA from 1 species
UCUUGUUUUCAUUUCAUUCCAAAUCUGAAUACAUUUGUGAGAGAUUUGUUCUUUGUUUCGUAUUGUCUCGAAAAGGCACAUGCACGUUUUGUUGUUCCGCGUGUGCUUCCGAUAUAUGCUACUUAUUGUUAAAACUGCCCUCUUGUACUCUGGUGUGUGGGAUUAUCUGGACCUUUGCCAGAAAUGGUAAAGGGUAUGCGCUUAUUGCCCGCUCUGUGGGGUCCCGCUCUGUGGGAUAUUCUGGACCUUUGCUAGAAAUGGUAAAGGGUAUGUGCUUAGAGCCUGCGAUGCUCUGCCGGCCCCCUCUGACUUCACCUAGACAUGGGUGGAUGGAGCUCCCAGACGUGGGAGACUUUUGUCAGGUGGUCAUUCAGAAAUGGAUGAAUCACAUUUUGACUGAGAUCCCACUACACAUUCUGUAUGUUUGAUAUGAUAUCCAUAGCUUUGGUUAUGUGUUUCUGUACAUGCUUUGGAUAAGAUUGAUAUGUUUGCAACGUUAAAGACGAUGUUUG